AUACCUUGCGCAAAAGAAGCGCCUGUUUCUCCUCUACAAGACCUAUAUAGUCAUACCCCGUGACACCCCUCAUUAUUUUUCUCUAGGAGCCGUGGAAUAGGUCGACCCCCCUAUUUUGGACCAUUUUUUUCAAAUUUUGGGCUCUAGUUUCAGAUUUUUGAACAUAGCGCCCUUCGAUACCUUGCGCAAAAGAAGCGCCUGUUUCUCCUCUACAAGACCUAUAUAGUCAUACCCCGUGACACCCCUCAUUAUUUUUCUCUAGGAGCCCUGGAAUAGGUCGACCCCCCUAUUUUUGGAUUUUUUUUUCAAAUUUUGGGCUCUAGUUUCAGAUUUUUGAACAUAGCAGCCUUCGAUACCUUGCGCAAAAGAAGCGCCUGUUUCUCCUCUACAAGACCUAUAUAGUCAUACCCCGUGACACCCCUCAUUAUUUUUCUCUAGGAGCCGUGGAAUAGGUCGACCCCCUAUUUUUGGACCAUUUUUUUCAAAUUUUGGGCUCUAGUUUCAGAUUUUUGAACAUAGCGCCCUUCGAUACCUUGCGCAAAAGAAGCGCCUGUUUCUCCUCUACAAGACCUAUAUAGUCAUACCCCGUGACACCCCUCAUUAUUUUUCUCUAGGAGCCGUGGAAUAGGUCGACCCCCCUAUUUUUGGAUUUUUUUUUUUCAAAUUUUGGGCUCUAGUUUCAGAUUUUUGAACAUAGCGCCCUUCGAUACCUUGCGCAAAAGAAGCGCCUGUUUCUCCUCUACAAGACCUAUAUAGUCAUACCCCGUGACACCCCUCAUUAUUUUUCUCUAGGAGCCGUGGAAUAGGUCGACCCCCCUAUUUUUGGACCAUUUUUUUCAAAUUUUGGGCUCUAGUUUCAGAUUUUUGAACAUAGCGCCCUUCGAUACCUUGCGCAAAAGAAGCGCCUGUUUCUCCUCUACAAGACCUAUAUAGUCAUACCCCGUGACACCCCUCAUUAUUUUUCUCUAGGAGCCCUGGAAUAGGGCAAC
rnacentral:lncRNA from 1 species